GGGGGCGACCUGGUUUCGACGUGGGUUGCAAAGCAGCGCAGGGCAUACCGAGGGCUGGUUACCUCGUAAAUACACCCAGAAAUCAAUAACUGCAAACGAUAACUCGUACGCACUCGCAGCUUAAUCGCUGCUAGCCCUUCACCGUCUCGUCCCUGGGGCGGGCUGGCAACAGCAUGAAGGGUCAUUUACAGGGAAUCGGGCUGAGCCGGGUCACUUGGUUCAACCUUAAACUCAAGGUGACUCGCCUGUCCAAAGCGUGCACGUCCGCGUUGUCCGGGUUAAAUCAAUUGACAGUGCUAAGUAUGUAGAACUGCCUGUAGAGUGCUUGCGGACGCGGGUUCAAUUCCCGCCGCCUC
rnacentral:tmRNA from 1 species